rnacentral:rRNA from 1 species
ACGUCGAGUGGCGAACGGGUGAGUAACACGUGAGUAACCUGCCCUUGACUUUGGGAUAACUUCAGGAAACUGGGGCUAAUACCGGAUAGGAGCUCCUGCUGCAUGGUGGGGGUUGGGAAAGUUUCGGCGGUUGGGGAGUGGACUCGCGGCUUAUCAGCUUGUUGGUGGGGUAGUGGCUUACCAAGGCUUUGACGGGUAGCCGGCCUGAGAGGGUGACCGGCCACAUUGGGACUGAGAUACGGCCCAG